UACGUAGGGCGCAAGCGUUUGUCCGGAAUUAUUGGGCGUAAAGAGCUCGUAGGCGGCCUGUCGCGUCUGCUGUGAAAUCCCGGGGCUCAACCCCGGGCCUGCAGUGGAUACGGGCUGGCUGGAGGCAGGCAGGGGAGAACGGAAUUCCUGGUGUAGCGGUGAAAUGCGCAGAUAUCAGGAGGAACACCGGUGGCGAAGGCGGUUCUCUGGGCCUGUUCUGACGCUGAGGAGCGAAAGCGUGGGGAGCGAACAGG
rnacentral:rRNA from 1 species